rnacentral:rRNA from 1 species
AUGAAGCAUGGUUGUCUCUUCAGUGCACACCGCCAGAUGAACGACAUGCUGGGACACGCUAGUCCUGAUUUAUGCCACUUCAGCUUGGAUGAGUCUCCAUCAGAAAACUAUUCAACUAGUCUCUUCUUCUUCCUCCUCUCUUCCCCAUCAUCGGCCGCACACCAUUUACCCCCGCUCACAGCUCGCCCGCCCGCGCCAUCUUCCUUGGUAGCUCGCGCGUACCAUAUCCCCCCGCUCACUGCUCGGCCACAUGAGGAGAAGCUUCUUCGCUCGCCCGCCCGAAUCCACUUCCCUACUGGCUCGCUGGCACCAGUUGAUAUGAGAACAGUAGUAGACCAAAUUGCAGCCGAUGGGUGGUGGUUUAUCGCUCGUUCAGCUGACGGCGGUCAUUUGAUGCUCAUCGCAUUACCAUAUAACUGGAAUUACCGAUGCAAGUUGAAGAAGGAUUGGCCCGUGCUGCCGGCUGGCGUCAAGUUCGAUCCCACGGAUCAGGAGCUGAUCGAGCACCUUGAGGCCAAAGUGAGUGCUGACAGCGCGAGAUUUCAGUCUGUCAUUGAUUUGUUCAUACCAACCAUCGACAGCGAGCACGGCAUAUGUUACACCCAACCUGAGAAACUUCUAGCAAAAAAGGUUCUGGUGCUGCACACCGAUAAGAACUUCGACCAGCAGAGGACCAACUGGGUGAUGCACCAGUACCACCUCGGGGACCUGGAGCAAGAGAAGGAGCGGGAGCUGGUCCUCUGCAAGAUUUUCUACCAGACGAACACUAGGGCCAGGACUAAAAAGAUUAUAAGUUAG